rnacentral:rRNA from 1 species
ACUCCUACGGGAGGCAGCAGUGGGGAAUAUUGGACAAUGGGGGAAACCCUGAUCCAGCCAUGCCGCGUGUGUGAAGAAGGCCUUCGGUUGUAAAGCACUUUCAGUGGGAGGGAAGGUUGAUGGUUAAUACCUAUCAGCUGUGACGUUACCCACAGAAGAAGCACCGGCUAACUCCGUGCCAGCAGCCGCGGUAAUACGGAGGGUGCAAGCGUUAAUCGGAAUUACUGGGCGUAAAGCGUGCGCAGGCGGUCUGUUAAGCGAGAUGUGAAAGCCCCGGGCUCAACCUGGGAACUGCAUUUCGAACUGGCAGACUAGAGUCUUGUAGAGGGGGUAGAAUUCCAGGUGUAGCGGUGAAAUGCGUAGAGAUCUGGAGG